rnacentral:rRNA from 1 species
GACGAACGCUGGCGGCGUGCCUAAUACAUGCAAGUAGAACGCUGAAGGAGGAGCUUGCUUCCCCGGAUGAGUUGCGAACGCGUGAGUAACGCGUAGGUAACCUGCCUGGUAGCGGGGGAUAACUAUUGGAAACGAUAGCUAAUACCGCAUAAGAGUAUAUGUUGCAUGACAUUCGCUUAUAAGGUACAAUUGCAUCACUACCAGAUGGACCUGCGUUGUAUUAGCUAGUUGGUGGGGUAACGGCUCACCAAGGCGACGAUACAUAGCCGACCGUAUAGGGGGGUCGGCCACACUGGGACGGGGACACGGCCCAGACUCCUACGGGAGGCAGCAGUAGGGAAUCUUCGGCAAUGGACGGAAGUCUUACCGAGCAACGCCGCGUGAGUGAAGAAGGGUUUCGGAUCGGAAAGCUCUGUUGUAAGGGAAGAACGAGUGUGAGAGUGGAAAGUUCACACUGUGACGGUAUCUAACCAGAAAGGGACGGCUAACUACGUG